GUUUAUCUAGUUUAUUAAAAUAUUUAUUUGUCAAGUAAAAGAUACUUAUAGUGAUAGAAU
rnacentral:tRNA from 1 species